rnacentral:lncRNA from 1 species
AUGGACAGCAUGUACUCCUCCACAGUUGUCCCAGUUUGGUUAUCUGCAUCGAGUAACCCAGAGAAUGAAAUUCUUGUAUAUGCACUACUUGACAACCAAAGCGAUACCACAUUCAUUAUGCAAGAUAAGGCAGAAGCUCUGGACAUGAAAGGGGAAGCUGUGCAGUUAAAACUCUCCACACUUUCAUCCAGAAAUACAAUCAUCCCAAGUCAAAGGUUAGUUGGACUGCAGGUGAGAGGUUUCUAUUCAUCAAAGAAGAUUUCUCUCCCUGUAACCUAUUCAAGAGAGUUCAUCCCUGCCAAUCUAAGUCACAUUCCUACACCAAAAACUGCAAGAGCUUGGUCACACCUAGAGCAUCUUGCUGAGGAAAUUGCUCCAUUGAUUGAGUGUGAUGUAGGACUUCUCAUAGGAUACAACUGUCCACAGGCUUUGCUACCCCGAGAGGUUGUCCCAGGUAAAGACAAUGAGCCAUUUGCUCAAAGGACAGAUCUUGGUUGGAGCAUAGUUGGUUGUGUUAGCCCAUGUGUCGACUAUGGUGAUGCUAUAGGAAGCAGUCACAAGAUUGUCAUGAAGUCAGUGAAACCUCAUCUCCAGACAUCUAAGAAGCUCACAAAUGAAGUGAAAUACAUAUGUCGAACCCAAGUUAAGGAGUUCAUUUCACCACCAGAUGUGCUGAGGAUGCUUGAGUCUGACUUCAGUGAGAGAAGAGUGGAGGAUGCUAAUUUAUCCCAGGAAGAUUUGCGUUUCCUAACCAUAAUGGAAGAAGGAAUCAAAAUUAAAGCAGAUGGUCACUGUGAAAUGCCACUUCCCUUCAAGAAAGAUCGACCAAAUCUCCCAGACAAUAAGGUAUGUGCAGUUCACAGGCUUCGAUGCUUGAAAGGAAGAUUUGAAAAAGACAAACAAUACCAAAAGGACUACACGACCUUUAUGAGUGAAAUCAUAACAAAUGGGGAUGCAGAAAAGGUCCCAAUAGGAGAAAUUAACAACAGUCCUGUGUGGUACAUUCCUCAUCACGGGGUGUAUCACCCACACAAGCCAGGAAAAAUACGGGUUGUGUUCGACUGUUCAGCAAGAUAUGAAGGCGUGUCAUUAAAUGAUUACCUUCUCACUGGACCAGAAUUAACGAACAGCCUGAUAGGUGUUCUCUGCCGCUUUCGCAAGGGACAAGUUGCUAUAAUGUGUGAUAUUGAGCGUAUGUUCCAUCAGUUUCACGUCAAAGCAGAGGACCAGGACUACUUGAGAUUUCUCUGGUGGGACGAUGGAAACUUCCAGGCUCAAUCAUCAGUCUAUCGCAUGCGAGUGCACCUAUUUGGAGCUGCCUCUUCCCCUGGUUGUGCAAACUUUGGCUUGAAACAUGUUGCUGCCCAAGGACAUGGUCACUACAGUGAAACCACGAUUCAGUUCAUUGAACGAAACUUUUACGUGGACGAUGGGCUCACAAGUGUCGCAACCAAGGAGGAAGCCAUCAAGUUAGUAAAGGAAGCAAGGCAACUCUGCAGUGCUGGCAAACUGCGAAUUCACAAAUUCAUUUCCAACAAUCAUGAAGUACUUGCAUCCAUUCCAGAGAGUGAACGUGCAGAUUCAGUACGAAAUCAUGACUUGGAUCUUGGUGAGUCCCAAAUUGAGAGAGCUCUGGGAAUCAAAUGGUGCAUUGUUUCAGACCAGUUCCAUUUUAGAGUGAUUGUGGAAGAACGCCCACUUUCUAGAAGAGGAGUCUUAUCAACUGUGGCAUCCAUCUAUGACCCUCUUGGCUUUGUGGCACCAUUUGUUCUGGUUGGAAAGCAAAUACUCCAACAGAUGUGUCAAGACAAGGUUGGAUGGGAUGAGCCACUGUCAGAAGAGCUCAAACCACGGUGGGAGUCUUGGCUGUUAGAUUUAAAGAACCUGGCGGACAUCAAAAUUCAGAGCUGUCAUCUUCCAGAAGGUUUUGAGAAAGUUGAAAGAUAUGAGCUGCAUCAUUUCUCAGAUGCGAGUGUUAAAGGGUACGGUGAAUGUUCUUACUUGAGAGCAAUCAGUGUCUCAAACCAAGUCCACUGCUCUCUAGUUAUUGGCAAAGCCAGGGUGACUCCUACAAAGGUCACCACAGUACCCAGGCUUGAGCUAUCAGCAGCAGUUAUUGCCGUGCGAAUGAGUGAGCUGCUUAAAAGGGAGUUGGAAGUUCAAGCCAAAGAAUUCUUCUGGACAGAUUCGAAGGUUGUUCUUGGAUACAUCAACAACGAUGCUAGAAGGUUUCACAUAUUUGUGGCAAAUCGCAUUCAGCGUAUCCAAGAAGGUUCCAAUCCAGACCAAUGGAGAUAUGUGACUUCUGAGAACAAUCCUGCUGACCAUGCAUCACGGGGUCUGACAGCAAAGGGACUAAUUACUUCCAACUGGUUCACCGGUCCAGAUUUUCUCUGGCAGGAUAAACUUCCUGCUGAUGACAUUAAGGUGGGAGAGUUGGGAGCUGAAGAUCCAGAACUUCGUAAGACUGUUGUCCAUAAGACACUGACCACAGAAGAUUCGUUGCUCAAUCAUUUCUCAAGGUUCUCAAACUGGUUAAGGCUAGUUAAAGCCAUUGCACCACUCAUGCGAUGUGUCAAAGAGCUCAAGGGUCUGAUGUGCAGAACAAACGAAGUCACCAGUCUUGAGGAGAGGAAAGAGGCAGAGCUUUUCAUCAUAGCUACUGUCCAAAGCGAGCUGUUUUUCGAAGAAAUCAAAUAUCUGAAAUCGAAGGAGACAAUAACAAGAGAUCGUGCAAAUAGGCUGCACAAACUGAAUCCCUUCUUGGAUGAAAAGGGUGUGCUAAGAGUGGGAGGUCGGCUGAAGCAUGCAGAUUUACACCCACACAUCAAACAUCCAGCGAUCUUGCCGAGCAAAACCCACAUAUCAAGGUUACUGAUUGAACACUUCCAUCAAAAGGUUCAUCACCAGGGACGUGGGAUGACUAUGAAUGAGCUGCGAUCAAAUGGCAUUUGGCUAUUAGGAUGUAGUCACGCAGUGUCUUCCUACAUCUACAAGUGUGUCAAAUGUAGGAAAUUCAGAAGGAAUGCUGAAGUACAAAGAAUGGCAGAUUUACCGCGUGAAAGAGUUGAAACAUCGCCUCCCUUUUCCUAUUGUGGAAUGGACUGCUUUGGCCCGUUUUACGUUAAGGAGGGAAGAAAGGAACUUAAACGCUACGGUCUGCUAUUCACAUGUCUGUGCUCUCGUGCUGUGCAUAUAGAGCUUCUCGACGACAUGACCAGUGAUGCCUUUAUUAAUGCUCUUCGAACCUUUAUCGCCAUACGUGGAAGUGUCCGACAGCUUCGGUCAGAUCAGGGCACCAACUUUGUUGGAGCAAGACGAGAGUUCUUGGAGUCUGCAAAGAAAAUGGACCAAGAAAGCCUAAGACAACUAGGUUGUGAGUUUGUCAUGAACCCAGCAUCUGCCAGCCAUAUGGGUGGGGCCUGGGAAAGGCAGAUCAGGACGAUUAGAAGUGUUUUGACAUCCAUUCUGGAUCAUUCAUCUAAAAGACUUGACACUUCAUCCUUGCGUACCUUCCUUUAUGAAGUCAUGGCGAUCAUAAAUAGUAGGCCCUUAACAACUCACCUGUUGAAUGAUCCCACUGGUCCACAGCCUCUUACGCCAAAUCACAUCCUGACCAUGAAGUCUUCAGUGGUUUUACCACCACCUGGUGAGUUUGUGAAGGAAGACCUUUAUCUUCGAAAAAGAUGGCGCAAGGUGCAAUACCUGGCCAAUGAAUUUUGGACCAGAUGGAAAAGGGAAUAUUUGCUGAAUCUUCAGCAGAGAGGAAAAUGGUGCAAAACACAGAGAAAUGCCAAGAUCAAUGACAUUGUGAUGCUGAUGGAUAAUAGUCUACCCAGAAAUGAGUGGAAGUUGGCCAAGGUAACCAAGGUGUACCCUAGUGAGGAUGGAAUCAUUAGGAAACUCGAGCUGCUAAUCAGUGAUGCGACAUUGGAUGACCAAGGAAAAAGAGUUAAUAAGCCAGUGUAUCUUGAGAGACCCAUCCACAAAACAGUUACCCUACUUGAAGCUGAAUAG